rnacentral:rRNA from 1 species
UACGAAGGGGGCUAGCGUUGUUCGGAAUUACUGGGCGUAAAGCGCACGUAGGCGGAUUUGUUAGUCAGGGGUGAAAUCCCGGGGCUCAACCUCGGAACUGCCUUUGAUACUGCAAGUCUUGAGUCCGGAAGAGGUGAGUGGAAUUCCUAGUGUAGAGGUGAAAUUCGUAGAUAUUAGGAGGAACACCAGUGGCGAAGGCGGCUCACUGGUCCGGUACUGACGCUGAGGUGCGAAAGCGUGGGUAGCAAACAGG